CGGGUACCUGUACCCCACGUAGUCGCCGGUUACCGAUCGGACUAAGUUCCAGAAACGAGAUAAAGUAAUAAUAGGUACUGUGGGGAAAAAACACAGAAGAACAAUUCUGUAAUAUAGUGGUGAUUUACAAGUGAAGUUAAAAUGUCCCCAGAAGUGGCCUUGAACCGAAUAUCUCCAAUGCUCUCCCCUUUCAUAUAUAGUGUGGUCCGGAAUGGAAAAGUGGGACUGGAUGCUACAAACUGUUUGAGGAUAACUGACUUGAAAUCUGGCUGCACAUCAUUGACUCCUGGGCCCAACUGUGACCGAUUUAAACUGCACAUACCAUAUGCUGGAGAGACAUUAAAAUGGGAUAUCAUUUUCAAUGCCCAAUACCCAGAACUGCCUCCCGAUUUUAUCUUUGGGGAAGAUGCUGAAUUCCUGCCAGACCCCUCAGCUUUGCAGAAUCUUGCCUCCUGGAAUCCUUCAAAUCCUGAAUGUCUCUUACUUGUGGUGAAGGAACUUGUGCAACAAUAUCACCAAUUCCAAUGUAGCUGACUCUGGGAGAGCUCCCGCCUCAUGUUUGAAUACCAGACAUUACUGGAAGAGCCACAGUAUGGAGAGAACAUGGAAAUUUAUGCUGGGAAAAAAAACAACUGGACUGGUGAAUUUUCAGCUCGUUUCCUUUUGAAGUUGCCAGUGGAUUUCAGCAAUAUCCCCACGUACCUUCUCAAGGUUCAUGCAAAAAGAGGAUCCCUCAACGCAAGACCAGCUAUGCUUCCGGUGCUGGCCCCCUACCCGGGAGGAGGCUGGGGUGUGGACCUGACUGCCGAGUUACCCAGAAGGGGAAGGGGCCCGGCUGCCCCCUACCUGGGAGGAGGCUGGGUUGUGGACGUGACUGUGGAGUUACCCAGAAGGGGAAGGGGCCCGGCUGCCCCCAUGCUGGCACCUGACCUGGGAUGA